UCUCACUCCACUACAUCUACUUCAUCCUCCUUCCAAUCAGACGACCCGGUCCGCAGUUCCAGAACUCACCUCCUUCCCUUUCAAUAAAAUCAUUGUAAACUUUA